rnacentral:rRNA from 1 species
AUUGAACGCUGGCGGCAUGCUUUACACAUGCAAGUCGGACGAGUGGCGGACGGGUGAGUAACGCAUCGGGACCUGCCUGAUAAUGGGGGAUAACUACUCGAAACGGUAGCUAAUACCGCAUACUAUUCGAUCGACCCAUGUGGGAUUAGCUUGUUGGUAGGGUAAAGGCCUACCUAGGCGACGAUCACUAGCGGGUCUGAGAGGAUGAUCCGCCACACUGGGACUGAGACACGGCCCAGACUCCUACGGGAGGCAGCAGUGGGGAAUAUUGCACAAUGGGCGCAAGCCUGAUGCAGCCAUGCCGCGUGUAUGAAGAAGGCCUUCGGGUUGUAAAGUACUUUCAGUCGGGAGGCGGUACCGACAGAAGAAGCACCGGCUAACUACGUGCCAGCAGCCGCGGUAAUUC